GGUGUAGCUCAGUGGUAGAGUGCAUGCCUAGCAUGCACAAGGUCCUGGGUUCAAUCCCCAGUCCCACCA
rnacentral:tRNA from 1 species